rnacentral:rRNA from 1 species
AAAGCGUGACGCAGCGACGCCGCGUGGGGGAUGAAGGCCCUCGGGUCGUAAACCCCUUUCGGCAGGGACGAAGCGAGAGUGACGGUACCUGCAGAAGAAGUCCCGGCUAACUACGUGCCAGCAGCCGCGGUGACACGUAGGGGACGAGCGUUGUCCGGAUUCAUUGGGCGUAAAGCGCGCGUAGGCGGCCCGGAAAGUCGGUUGUGAAAUCCCGGGGCUCAACCCCGGGACCGCGUCCGAAACUUCCGAGCUCGAGGCAGGUAGGGGAGAUCGGAAUUCCUGGUGUAGCGGUGAAAUGCGCAGAUAUCAGGAGGAACACCGGUGGCGAAGGCGGAUCUCUGGGCCUUGCCUGACGCUGAGGCGCGAAAGCUAGGGGAGCGAACAGGAUUAGAUACCCUGGUAGUCCUAGCCGUAAACGUUGGGUGCUAGGUGUGGGCGGACAUCGACCCCGUCCGUGCCGAAGCUAACGCAUUAAGCACCCCGCCUGG